rnacentral:rRNA from 1 species
GAUAAACGCUGGCGGCGCACAUAAGACAUGCAAGUCGAACGGACUUAAUCGAAAUAUUUAUAUUUUGAAGCGGUUAGUGGCGGACUGGUGAGUAACGCGUAAGGAACCUACCUAUUAGAGGGGAACAACAGUUAGAAAUGACUGCUAAUACCGCAUAUGCCUUAGAAUCACAUGGUUCAAAAGGGAAAGGAGCAAUCCGCUGAUAGAUGGGCUUGCGUCUGAUUAGCUAGUUGGUGGGGUAACGGCCUACCAAGGCGACGAUCAGUAGCCGAACUGAGAGGUUGAACGGCCACAUUGGGACUGAGAUACGGCCCAG